rnacentral:rRNA from 1 species
AGCGGAGGAAAAGAAACCAACAGGGAUUGCCCUAGUAACGGCGAGUGAAGCGGCAACAGCUCAAAUUUGAAAUCUGGCCCUAGCGGUCCGAGUUGUAAUUUGUAGAGGAUGCUUUUGGUUAGGUGCCUUCUGAGUUCCCUGGAACGGGACGCCAGAGAGGGUGAGAGCCCCGUACGGUUGGACACCGAGCCUCUAUAUAGCUCCUUCGACGAGUCGAGUAGUUUGGGAAUGCUGCUCUAAAUGGGAGGUAAAUUUCUUCUAAAGCUAAAUACCGGCCAGAGACCGAUAGCGCACAAGUAGAGUGAUCGAAAGAUGAAAAGUACUUUGAAAAGAGGGUUAAAUAGCACGUGAAAUUGUUGAAAGGGAAGCGUUUGCGACCAGACUUUUUCCAGGCGGAUCAUCCGGUGUUCUCACCGGUGCACUUCGCCUGGUUUAGGCCAGCAUCGGUUCUCUUAGGGGGAUAAAGGCCUGGGGAACGUAGCUCCUUCGGGAGUGUUAUAGCCCCUAGCGUAAUACCCUUCGGGGGACCGAGGAACGCGC